rnacentral:rRNA from 1 species
GACGAACGCUGGCGGCGUGCCUAAUACAUGCAAGUAGAACGCUGAAGCUUGGUGCUUGCACCGAGCGGAUGAGUUGCGAACGGGUGAGUAACGCGUAGGUAACCUGCCUGGUAGCGGGGGAUAACUAUUGGAAACGAUAGCUAAUACCGCAUAAGAGUAGUUGUUGCAUGACAUUUGCUUAAAAGGUGCAAUUGCAUCACUACCAGAUGGACCUGCGUUGUAUUAGCUAGUUGGUGAGGUAACGGCUCACCAAGGCAACGAUACAUAGCCGACCUGAGAGGGUGAUCGGCCACACUGGGACUGAGACACGGCCCAGACUCCUACGGGAGGCAGCAGUAGGGAAUCUUCGGCAAUGGACGGAAGUCUGACCGAGCAACGCCGCGUGAGUGAAGAAGGUUUUCGGAUCGUAAAGCUCUGUUGUAAGAGAAGAACGAGUGUGAGAGUGGAAAGUUCACACUGUGAC